rnacentral:rRNA from 1 species
UACGGGGGGGGUAAGCGUUGUUCGGAAUUACUGGGCGUAAAGGGCUCGUAGGCGGCCAACUAAGCCAGACGUGAAAUCCCUCAGCUUAACUGGGGAACUGCGUCUGAUACUGGAUGGCUUGGAUUCGGGAGAGGAAUGCGGAAUUCCAGGUGUAGCGGUGAAAUGCGUAGAUAUCUGGAGGAACACCGGUGGCGAAGGCGGCAUUCUGGACCGAUAUUGACGCUGAGGAGCGAAAGCCAGGGGAGCAAACGGG